rnacentral:rRNA from 1 species
CCUACGGGAGGCUGCAGUGGGGAAUAUUGGACAAUGGGGGGAACCCUGAUCCAGCCAUGCCGCGUGUGUGAAGAAGGCCCUCGGGUUGUAAAGCACUUUCAGUGAGGAAGAACGCCUGGUGGUUAAUACCCAUCAGGAAAGACAUCACUCACAGAAGAAGCACCGGCUAACUCCGUGCCAGCAGCCGCGGUAAUACGGAGGGUGCGAGCGUUAAUCGGAAUUACUGGGCGUAAAGCGCGCGUAGGUGGCUUGAUAAGCCGGUUGUGAAAGCCCCGGGCUCAACCUGGGGACGGCAUCCGGAACUGUCAAGCUAGAGUGCAGGAGAGGAAGGUAGAAUUCCCGGUGUAGCGGUGAAAUGCGUAGAGAUCGGGAGGAAUACCAGUGGCGAAGGCGGCCUUCUGGACUGACACUGACACUGAGGUGCGAAAGCGUGGGUAGCAAACAGGAUUAGAUACCCGAGUAGUC